CUGUAAGCUCAGACAUUUGCUGCGCGAAACCGUCUGAAUUAUUAUAACAUUUUCUGACAGCUCAGCAAACGCGAGCAUCAAAAAGGUUGCUGUGUUUCGCUUUUAGAAAUGCGCCUUCAUAGAUGGAUCAUUUUUCCAGCAUUUGAAUGAUUUUCGAUUACAUGCAAUUCUACAGAAGCCUGAUUCAGUCAAUGCUAGGUUUAUUAUUAGUUCACGGAUGGAGUAUCUAAAAAUGCGCAUAAUUUUAUUGUUUUCUCUAACAGCAGCCGUGCUGGGUUCCGGCACGGAUCUCGAACAAGACUGCAGUAAUUCGACCCACGACUAUGUGGGAACUACCAGACUGCCGACCACCACGCCUUCUUUUCCUUUCCGCACAGAUUUGUUGACGAAAGAAGAAUGUUUUAUUUACUCCACCUUAGGCGAAAGAAGUGCUUGCAGACUUGGCAUCGUGCUCGACGACGCCUGUAACGUAACCGAACAAGAUCCUUACUACAAAUACUACGCCUCGUCCAGAACCUACCUGGAACUCGAGUGUCGACUCGCAAAUCGCUCAGACAUGCGGCAGUUGACGCGAAGCAUCCCUCGCAUCAGUCGAACCGGGCUGUGACAAUCCUGCUAACAGAAACAAGCGACGCGAGUCACCCGAUAGAUUCCGACGUUAUCCAUCCUAUUCGACAACAAAUCGUGGAGCUCACCGUCGUCUCUAAUACGUCAGCCACAACCUUCAAGGUGUACGAAGCCGGUACGUUGCCCAGGUUGCUGCGUUUCAAAGUGCAGCAUGGAAAAACUUUGAAGGUUAAAAAGAGAGAUUUUUCCCGCAUGCCGGAAGUACGAAUGAUUUGCUUUGAGUCGUCCAUGUUCGAUUCGCUGGAGCGUUACACGUUUAUGGACUUGCCUAAACUGGAGAGCUUAGUUUUGGAGGAAAGGAUCAGAUAUAUGUUGUACAAAACGGAAUUGUACGAAAAAUAUGACCCCACCGGGACCGUCAAUCGGCCAAUGAGCAUCGAGGAUAUCCAGAAGGUGCGACGUCUGCACUGCGACUGUUCGUUUGUUUGGCUCCGGAAUUUUCUCAAACAGACGCCACAUCUCGCAUCUCGAAAAGCGGAGGGCGAAGUAUUUGUUGUAGGCAACUACUAUUCACCUGCUGUUUUAAACCCGGUAAAUGAUUUGAACCCAGAGGUGCUCAGUGUGGACUGCGGGCGGAAGUUAUCCUACAACAAUACUAACGCUGGUUGGCAUUUCUCCUAUAAUACGUCGUGUUACACUUACAACCUAUCUUGUAGCUGAAAGAAAUUUCUUUUUCUCAUUAAACAAUGCGGCUGUAGCUGUAAUUUCUUGUGCAGUGUAGUAACAGCCUUUCGGAUGUUUGCAUAAUUCAAAUUUACGGCUUUAACUUCGAAAUGCAGCAAAAGUGUUUGGUGAAGAAACGGCAUUACC